rnacentral:rRNA from 1 species
CAGCAGCCGCGGUAAUACGGAGGGUGCAAGCGUUAUCCGGAUUCACUGGGUUUAAAGGGUGCGUAGGUGGGCAGGUAAGUCAGUGGUGAAAUCUCCGGGCUUAACCCGGAAACUGCCGUUGAUACUAUCUGUCUUGAAUAUAGUGGAGGUGAGCGGAAUAUGUCAUGUAGCGGUGAAAUGCUUAGAUAUGACAUAGAACACCCAUUGCGAAGGCAGCUCGCUACACUAUUAUUGACACUGAGGCACGAAAGCGUGGGGAUCAAACAGGAUUAGAUACCCCCGUAGUCCCUGUCUCUUAUAC